GCGUCGGGACGCCUGUGUUGAUGGUGGUUUCUGCGAGAAAAGUCAAAACACGGUCAAGCUGGGAUUCCACUUUCCAGGGUUGAACUCGCUUGACCAAAAACGCAACGUUUAUCACGCCAAGAAGGGACGGCUGCGAUCGCUUCUCACCACGGACGGUCCAGACGAACUCAAUCGGAAAGGAAAUGAAAACUCACCCUUCUUUUUAGCUUUGUUGGACUUGAGGCCGUGGCUGAAGGCCCAUCACGUCGCGCGAUUCAUCUAACGGCACACAUCAGAAGAGUAGUGCAGCCUAACUGCUCUUUUAGAAAGCCGGCGCUCCGAUCAUCACUUUGUCUUUCUCGUGCUCUUUCUUCGAAGUCUGCGGCAGGGAAGUUUUCAGUCCAGGAUGGGCCCGUUAUAUAGAGGGGAAUCUACGAGAAUUCAUAAACCUAGAGGGCGCCAUCAUGGAUUGAGCCAACAGAAGAAGCAGGAGAUUAGGGAAGCAUUUGAAUUAUUUGACACGGAUUGUUCAGGUACCAUUGAUGCCAAGGAGCUGAAUGUUGCCAUGAGGGCCCUUGGUUUUGAGAUGACAGAAGAGCAAAUUAAUCAAAUGAUAGCAGACGUGGAUAAGGAUGGCAGUGGGGCAAUUGAAUAUGAUGAGUUCGAGCACAUGAUGACAGCCAAAAUUGGAGAAAGGGACACUAUGGAAGAGCUAAUGAAAGCUUUCCAGAUUAUUGAUCAAGAUGGAAAUGGAAAGAUAUCUGAAGCAGACAUUCGGAGCAUUGCAAAAGAGCUAGGUGAAAGUUUUACUGUCAGGGAAAUUCAGGAUAUGAUUGAGGCAGCAGACCUCGAUCUUUAUGGGUUCUAUAUAAAGAAAAGGCUGCUACUCCCCACAUAAAAAGGGGGAAAAAAAUGCUUAAGCAACAUAGCAGUCUAGUUUAAAUAGCAUAUUGCGAUGUUGGAGAGAAAAGGGGGCAGGUUGUAUGAAGGGGCCGGUAAAAUUACUAUGAUGGGGAGGUGAAUGCAGAGGAGUUCAUCGGGAUGAUGAAGAGAACUAGCUAUGGUUACUAGUAAUAUGAAUAUCCAAGCGGCCUGCGAGUAAAAGGAAUAAAAUUAUAUCGAACAGAAGCGGCAAAAUGUUAUGGGGACAAUUGUGAUCGUGUUUUGCCCGUAAAUAGCGAUAGCAAUUUAAUAAAUAAUAAUAAUAAUAAAAGUUGGCUUGUGGGCAAAUACUCAGUACUCUAUCAUUGUACAAGUUAGAAGUUUAGAACCUUGGGGCUUGCAUGAUCGGAUGCAACUUGAGAUUGAAUUAUUAUUAUUUUUUUAAGCCAAAUGAAUGUACUUGUAUA